UUUGGCUUCUGAGGAUGGUGGUCUUCUGCAUGCAGUUGGGCUGACCUGACAAAGCCCCCAGUUUCCUGUGGCAGGUUCUGGGAGAGGAUGGAUUCAAGCUUCUGCAGCCUAGGGGACAGGGCUGCUUGUUCAGUUAUUCCUGCUUCGGAGCUCCAAAUCCCACCAAAGUCCUGACUCCAGGUCUUUCCUAAUGCACAGUAGUCAGUCUCAGCUUCAGCAGUAUUCUCAGCUGUAUGUUCUCUGGCAGAGAGAGGCAGAUGCACAGUUUUAGGGAGAAAGCUGAUGGGAAAUCUGUGAGUGAAACCACAUGUCUCACCAGGAAUAAUUUAUGCCAGGAAACCAGGAAGUCAU
rnacentral:antisense_RNA from 1 species